AAGAACUAAUAAUCUGAACAAUCAAAUGAUAGGGUAACGCCUUGAAGGGUUGUCCAUAAUACUCCGAAUGGCAAUCUGUAGGGUAAAAUACAAAUUGUCAUAAGCUCGGUGAAGUCGGUUGAGAGCAUACCCUAAUGCUAAAAACGUUUUAGCAAAGGAAAAGUGAACCAGAGGUGGUCAAGUAUGUGAUAGAUCGGUGGUCUAAAAC
rfam:Epulopiscium sp. SCG-B10WGA-EpuloB SCGB10WGA_B_115, whole genome shotgun sequence.